rnacentral:rRNA from 1 species
UACGAACGGUGCGAGCGUUAUUCGGAAUCACUGGGCUUACAGGGUGCGUAGGCGGCCGAACAAGUCAGGUGUGAAAGCCCUCGGCUCAACCGAGGAACUGCGCUUGAAACUGUUUGGCUCGGGUCAACUAGAGGUGCACGGAACUUCCAGUGGAGCGGUGAAAUGUGUUGAUAUUGGAAGGAACACCGGAGGCGAAAGCGGUGCACUGGGGUGGGUCUGACGCUGAGGCACGAAAGCCAGGGGAGCGAACGGG